rnacentral:SRP_RNA from 1 species
GCUGGGCACAGUGGUGCGUGCCUGUAGUCCAAGCUACUUGGGAGGCUGAGGUGGGAGGAUCGCUUGAGCCCAGGAGUUCUGGCCUGUGGUGCGCUAUGCCAAUUGGGUGUCCGCACUAAGUUCGGCAUCAAUGUGGUGACCUCCCGGGAGUGGGGACCACUAGGUUGCCUAAGGAGGGGUGAACCAGCCUAGGUCGUAAACGGAGCAGGUCAAAACUCCUGUGCUGAUCAGUAGUAGGAUCACGCCUGUGAAUAGCCACUGCACUCCAGCCUGGGCAACAUAGCGAGACCCCGUCUCU